GACGAACGCUGGCGGCGUGCUUAACACAUGCAAGUCGAACGGAAAGGCCCUGCUUUUGUGGGGUGCUCGAGUGGCGAACGGGUGAGUAACACGUGAGUAACCUGCCCUUGACUUUGGGAUAACUUCAGGAAACUGGGGCUAAUACCGGAUAGGAGCUCCUGCUGCAUGGUGGGGGUUGGAAAGUUUCGGCGGUUGGGGAUGGACUCGCGGCUUAGCAGCUUGUUGGUGGGGUAGUGGCUUACCAAGGCUUUGGCGGGUAGCCGGCCUGAGAGGGUGACCGGCCACAUUGGGACUGAGAUACGGCCCAGACUCCUACGGGAGGCAGCAGUGGGGAAUAUUGCACAAUGGGCGGAAGCCUGAUGCAGCAACGCCGCGUGCGGGAUGACGGCCUUCGGGUUGUAAACCGCUUUCGCCUGUGACGAAGCGUGAGUGACGGUAAUGGGUAAAGAAGCACCGGCUAACUACGUG
rnacentral:rRNA from 1 species